UGUUCUAACCUCAUUCUCUACCUCUCACUCAUUUUCUUCCUCUUUUCUUUUUACAUUCACCACACUUUUUUUUAUUCUUCUCCAAACCCUAAUCUCACUCAACGCUAAUUUUGUAUUUUCCGGUUUUCCCCAAUUCCAGGAACUCAAAUCUCCGAGACCUCUUUUCUUCUUUCUCACUCAACGUACAGAUUCUUUUCCCUUCCUCAUUACAUCGCAAAUAGCGACCACCAAGGCCUCCACCGCCCUCCUCCGUCCACGAAGGCGCAAACCGAGCCAUCAAUAUCUCCUUGUUCUGCCUUCAACUACAGUAAACAAUGAUCAACUCAGCAAGGAAUUCAUCAGAUUACAUUGGUUUGAAGUCAUAUGCUACUGGCCUAUUUUGUUGUAGAUAUACAUGUUGCUUGGCGACAAGAGGAUGCUUAUAAGCAUUGAUAUAUAACUUGGUACAGUAGAGGAUUUGUCUUUCAACUUGGACUAUUGCAAAACUUGCAAUAUAUAUCUCUGCCCUGAAACUAGUUACAUUUGAAAUGGACUUUUUGUAUUAUGGUUGUGCCCUUAAAAUUUGACUAAAAUUGGUAAUAUAUAAUUAUAUAUGUUUAUUUGAUUAAUA